rnacentral:rRNA from 1 species
UACGAAGGGGGCUAGCGUUGUUCGUAUUUACUGGGCGUAAAGCGCACGUAGGCGGGUCGUUAAGUCGAGGGUGAAAUCCUGGAGCUCAACUCCAGAACUGCCUUCGAUACUGGCGACCUAGAGUCCGGAAGAGGUGAGUGGAACUCCUAGUGUAGAGGUGGAAUUCGUAGAUAUUAGGAAGAACACCAGUGGCGAAGGCGGCUCACUGGUCCGGUACUGACGCUGAGGUGCGAAAGCGUGGGGAGCAAACAGG